GAUGAACGCUGGCGGCGUGCCUAAUACAUGCAAGUCGAACGAGGCCCUUUGUAUUCGUACGAAGGUGUCCUAGUGGCGAACGGGUGAGUAACACGUAGGUGACCUGCCCCGAAGAGGGGAACAACCCCGGGAAACUGGGGCUAAUACCCCAUAACCUCCUUGGAGUUAGAGGACCUUGGAGAAAAAGGAGCAAUCCGCUUUGGGAGGGGCCUGCGGCCCAUCAGCUAGUUGGUAGGGUAACGGCCUACCAAGGCGAUGACGGGUAGGGGACCUGAGAGGGUGGUCCCCCACAAUGGUACUGAAACACGGACCAUACGACUACGGUCGGCAGCAGUAGGGAAUAUUGCACAAUGGGCGAAAGCCUGAUGCAGCAACGCCGCGUGCGCGAUGAAGGCCUUCGGGUUGUAAAGCGCUUUUCUGGGGGAAGAGAGAGGACGGUACCCCAGGAAUAAGUCUCGGCUAACUACGUG
rnacentral:rRNA from 1 species